CGGAUAGUCGCCUAAUCUGGUAUGGCACUUGCUUUGGAUGCAAGAAUGAUUGAAGGUUCAAAUCCUUCCUAUCCGA
rnacentral:tRNA from 1 species